AUGGCUUUUGUCGCUCUCUCUAAAGUCUCAUCAUCUAUCAACCCUUUUAAUAAACCUCACCUCUUCUCUUCUUUUCUCUUCUCUUCAUUUAUAUAACCCAUACUCACCUUCUCUUCUUCUCCAAUCCUAACAGCGAGCUGCGAGCUUCACCAACAUCUUCAUCUCUCUCUCUCUAUAGAUCUAGCUAGAGAGAUAUGGCUAGACAAAUGAGAGUGAUUGUAUCUAAGAAGAGACUGUCUUCACCAUCAUCAGCAAGUAAAAGUAGUUGUAAUAUUAGAGAAUCAAGGGGGAGAAGAGUUGUUGUUAUUGGUGGAUCGGUUGGGAAGAAAGUGAAGAGACUUCAAAAGCUAGUUCCAGGUCGGGGAAUUAAGUUGGUCGGACGGUGUUACCUUCACACUUAUAGCUAGCUUGGAGGUCCAAUCGUUCAAGGAUGGUGAGUUCCCUCUAACUGGUUAUAAAUUUUUAUCCACACAUGGUUCGAUAGCUGUAAUGCGUGAAGGAAAUAAAUGCACUUAUACUGGCGGACAAAUAUAAAAGAUCAGGUGUUUAGACGCAAGCCUAAUGGGUGUUUGAUUGAAAAGUAUUCUCCACCAGGCUCUCACUGGUGGUCGGUCGCUCCGAUGGAUUUAAAAUUUUUAGGAGGGGUUUUAUUAUGUAUAAAAUAAAAUAAAUAAAGAGCCGACGGAAAAUCCACUGCUUGUAGGAAUUUAUUCAA